rnacentral:rRNA from 1 species
AGAGUUUGAUCCUGGCUCAGGAUGAAUGCUGGCGGCGUGCCUAACACAUGCAAGUCGAGCGGCAGCGGGUUCUGCACUAUCAACUUGAAGCCUGGACGCGGGGAUUUCCAAGGGGAAUCAGCCGCAUCACUUCGAAAGAAAUGAGUGUCUGGGGUGACUUCAAACUGAUAGUGCAGAAUGCCGGCGAGCGGCGAACGGCUGAGUAACGCGUAGGAAUUUGCCCCAAAGUGAGGGAUAACUGCCCGAAAGGGUAGCUAAUACCGCAUAUGGUCUUCGGAUUAAAGGAUUUAUCCGCUUUGGGAGAAGCCUGCGUUGGAUUAGGUUGUUGGUAGGGUAAUGGCCUACCAAGCCGACGAUCCAUAGCUGGUCUGAGAGGAUGAUCAGCCAGACUGGAACUGAGACACGGUCCAGACUCCUACGGGAGGCAGCAGUGAGGAAUCUUCCACAAUGGGCGAAAGCCUGAUGGAGCAACGCCGCGUGCAGGAUGAAGGCCUUCGGGUUGUAAACUGCUUUUAUAAGUGAGGAAUAUGACGGUAACUUAUGAAUAAGGAUCGGCUAACUACGUGCCAGCAGCCGCGGUCAUACGUAGGAUCCAAGCGUUAUCCGGAGUGACUGGGCGUAAAGAGUUGCGUAGGCGGUUUGUUAAGCGAAUAGUGAAACCUGGUGGCUCAACCAUACAGACUAUUAUUCGAACUGGCAAACUCGAGAGUGGUAGAGGUCACUGGAAUUUCUUGUGUAGGAGUGAAAUCCGUAGAUAUAAGAAGGAACACCAAUGGCGUAGGCAGGUGACUAGACCAUUUCUGACGCUAAGGCACGAAAGCGUGGGGAGCGAACCGGAUUAGAUACCCGGGUAGUCCACGCCGUAAACGAUGGAUACUAGCUGUUGGAGGUAUCGACCCCUUCAGUAGCGAAGCUAACGCGUUAAGUAUCCCGCCUGUGGAGUACGGCCGCAAGGCUAAAACAUAAAGGAAUUGACGGGGACCCGCACAAGCGGUGGAUCGUGUUCUUUAAUUCGAUGAUAAACGAAGAACCUUACCAGGGCUUGACAUCCAGGGAAGGUCUGCGAAAGUGGACUGUGCCUUUUGGAACCCUGUGACAGGUGCUGCAUGGCCGUCGUCAGCUCGUGUCGUGAGAUGUUUGGUUAAGUCCAUCAACGAGCGC